rnacentral:rRNA from 1 species
UACGUGGGGGGCAAGCGUUGUCCGGAAUCAUUGGGCGUAAAGAGCGUGUAGGCGGCUCGGUAAGUCCGCUGUGAAAGUCCAGGGCUCAACCCUGGAAUGCCGGUGGAAACUGUCGAGCUAGAGUCCGGAAGAGGCGAGUGGAAUUCCUGGUGUAGCGGUGAAAUGCGCAGAUAUCAGGAGGAACACCAAUGGCGAAGGCAGCUCGCUGGGACGGUACUGACGCUGAGACGCGAAAGCGUGGGGAGCGAACAGG